UUUCAAUUCUCUCUUGAUUUGUAAGGUUAUGUUAUUCUUUCUUCGGUUAAUCCUGGGUUAAUCAGCUGUCUCUGCUUCCUUCGUCGAUGUGGUUAUCUCUUGAUGUCCAAACUUACGAUGAUUCCUUGAAUUCAAUGUUUAUGAUAUCUUGAUCUUGAAUAAAGGUAUGAUGACCAUAACAAGUUGUAUCUUCGGUGAAAAUUUUAAUGUUUUUCUGUUAUAUAAAGCUCUUUACCUUGACAUACCUGAUUGAAAUAAAGUAAGUAGAAACUAUGGAAUUUUGAAUCUCAGAAAUUAUAAUUCCUCACAGAAAAAACUGAAAAAAUAAGAAUAUCAUCUAUGUAAUGUAUACAAAAUUGAUCAAAUUUGUCUAGUAUACUAUUCAGAGCUUUAACUAAACUAGAACAAGCUGAUUGGAGUCCAAAUGGU